GUGCUGACGGAUCAGCGCGGGCCAUCAGGAUGACGGUCGGGAACAAUCGCUGGAAGCGAUUUCAUCAGGACGAUGAGCAGGAAACAAAGGGAGCAAGGAAGGAGGCGGGCGGGCUUAGUCCCGCCCCUUUUU
rnacentral:sRNA from 1 species